rnacentral:rRNA from 1 species
CCUACGGGUGGCAGCAGUGAGGAAUAUUGGUCAAUGGGCGGGAGCCUGAACCAGCCAAGUCGCGUGAGGGAAGACGGUCCUAUGGAUUGUAAACCUCUUUAGGCGGGGAGCAAUGCCGGGCACGUGUGCCCGGCGGGAGAGUCCCCGCAGACUAAGCAUCGCCUAACUCCUUGCCAGCAGCCGCGGUAAUACGGAGGAUGCGAGCGUUCUCCGGAUUUAUUGGGGUUAAAGUGUGCGUAGGCGGAUUUUUAAGUCAGCGGUAAAAUGUCCGGGCUCAACCCGGGCCGGCCGUUGAAACUGGGGAGCUUGAGUGGGCGAGAAGUAGGCGGAAUGCGUGGUGUAGCGGUGAAAUGCAUAGAUAUCACGCAGAACGCCGAUUGCUAAGGCAGCAUACCGGCGCCCGACUGACGCUGAGGCACGAAAGCGUGGGGAUCGAACAGGAUUAGAUACCCUUGUAGUC